rnacentral:lncRNA from 1 species
UAUUCCUAUUCCAGGAUACUUGGUAUCUUUUUGUCAAUUUAUCGCGUGGGGAUAAAUGACAAAAAGAUAUUGGAAUAAACUAAAUAAAAAUAAAAGGAGAGGAAAAAAAUGAAAUUCCAUAUCUUCGUCAACCUAUUCUUUUCUAUUCUUUUCUAGGGGGAACUUCCAUUUUCACAUUUUUCAGCCAGUCACAAUUGAUAUUUGUAAAAUUUGGAAUCUAGUUAGUACUAAAAUUAGUCCAGUUAGUACUAAGCUUUGGAAUCUAGUUAGUACUAAAAUUAG